rnacentral:snoRNA from 3 species
CUGCACAGUGCUACCCCCAGGCUUGUCAGAUCACAAUCCUAUGAAUAAGAAACCCCCAAUUUCUGUGCUUAGAUCUACUAUCCCAUUUGGUGUUGCAGGUCAUGUCACUUGUGAUUGAGUCGUCUGUGUCAACAUAGAUCUACUA